rnacentral:rRNA from 1 species
GACGAACGCUGGCGGCGUGCUUAACACAUGCAAGUCGAACGGUGAAGCGCCUUCCUUUUUGGCUGGUGUGGAUGAGUGGCGAACGGGUGAGUAACACGUGAGUAACCUGCUUCCUUCUUCUGGAUAACCGCAUGAAAGUGUGGCUAAUACGGGAUAUUCUGGGUCUGUCGCAUCAUGGGUCUUGGAAAGCUAUUGUUUCGGUGGGGGAUGGGCUCGCGGCCUAUCAGGUUGGUGGUGGGGUGAUGGCCUAACAAGGCGGUGAGGAGCAGCCGGCAUGAGAGGGUGGACGGUAAUACGGGGGAUAAGAGACGGAGAAGACUACGACGGGAAGCAGCGGGGAAGAAUAUAGAACAAGGGGCGGAAGGAUGAAGCAGUGACGCGGGGGGGAGGAUGGAGGCCGUCGGGUGGUGAACCUCUGUUGAGAGAGAAGAAGACCUGGAUAGUUUGUGGGUGGGUUGACGGUAGCUGAAGAAGAAGCGCCGGCUAACUACGUG